rnacentral:rRNA from 1 species
UACAGAGGGGGCAAGCGUUGUUCGGAAUUACUGGGCGUAAAGGGCGCGUAGGCGGCUUUCUAAGUCGAACGUGAAAUCCCCGGGCUCAACCCGGGAACUGCGUCCGAGACUGGAAGGCUUGAAUCCGGGAGAGGGAUGUGGAAUUCCAGGUGUAGCGGUGAAAUGCGUAGAUAUCUGGAGGAACAUCGGUGGCGAAGGCGGCAUCCUGGACCGGUAUUGACGCUGAGGCGCGAAAGCCAGGGGAGCAAACGGG